rnacentral:tRNA from 1 species
UAUAAAAUGUUGUUUGGCAUAAAGAAUUUUGAAUUCUUAGGUAUUAGUUUAUUCUAAUUUUUAUAA